CGAAGUGCACACGACCCGGAGGUCCCCGGGCGCCGCGCACGGGUCACUCGGGGACGUGCGCGGGGAGGGUGGCGCACGUGCAGAAUUCGACUGCGGGAGCGAGUGAUGCUGGAGAGCCAGCCAGCAGCCGCCAACAGCACCCAGGCGCUUCGGAGCACACGUGCACACGGCGAACGAUUGCCUUGUUAACGCAGGACACGUGCCCAGAACGCAUUCCCAAAGACACACAGAGGGAAUACACUAUACAGACACAGAUUUACACGUGGAGACAUAGCUACCAAGUUAUGUGUGGCCUGAAGCUGUGUUCUUAGGUGGACUGCCAAGACCACGUUCAUGCGCAUUCAGCCCACCUAGGAAGGCUCCCAGGACAAUCCUCAGAACCGACUCACUGAUCACGCUGAAGGCUCAUCCUUCCACAGAACAGUUCCCACGCUGGGCUUCUCUUCCAAAGCCGGUGGUUACUUUAUGAAUCGGGUAUAGACUACCUGGCAACAUUAUACGUGGCAGAGAGAGAAACCUCAUCUCACCCAGGCUCAGGCUACCCUUGGAAAUGAGGAGAGAAAGAAAGGGCCCUCCAUCCAGAACCUGCUUACAAUAAGUAGGGGUCCCAGGAAAGUGAUGCAAAUGAGCUUGAGACCCCCAACCCCUGAAGCCAAGGAUGCCUCGGCGCUACAAAUAGACAGUCCCCAGUGAGCCCUGAAGGCGGUGGUGGGAAGCGUGCCUCCUGGGAGGGGGACCCGACCCAUUAGAGGGGAGCUGUUGGGGGCUGAUUUCAGGAAAACAGCCACUGUGACUUCCGAGAUGGAGAACGAAGGAUGGAAGAAGCGAGUUGAGGACAGUCCUCGUGGUAGUGGCGGCAGGACAGGAUUCUCCCUGCCUCACACAAGCUCCUGGAUCCCUCAACCCUCCCCACCCAAAGCCCUCUUGCUGCCUCCAGAGAACUCAGGAAUUAAGGCAGCUGAAGGGAAACCCACCGAGUCCCACACCUCACUCUUAGAUAGUCAACCCACUCUGCUGACAGCUCGUUUCCCCCUCCCCCCCCCUUUUUUUUCAUUAUCUGUUAAACAUAACACCACCGCUAAUAAAAAUCAAAGAACCUGA